rnacentral:rRNA from 1 species
AGUGAACGCUGGCGGUAUGCCUAACACAUGCAAGUCGAACGGCAGCACAGUAAGAGCUUGCUCUUACGGGUGGCGAGUGGCGGACGGGUGAGGAAUACAUCGGAAUCUACUUUUUCGUGGGGGAUAACGUAGGGAAACUUACGCUAAUACCGCAUACGACCUACGGGUGAAAGCAGGGGAUCUUCGGACCUUGCGCGAUUGAAUGAGCCGAUGUCGGAUUAGUUAGUUGGCGUGGUAAAGGCCCACCAAGGCGACGAUCCGUAGCUGGUCUGAGAGGAUGAUCGGCCACACUGGAACUGAGACACGGUCCAGACUCCUACGGGAGGCAGCAGUGGGGAAUAUUGGACAAUGGGCGCAAGCCUGAUCCAGCCAUACCGCGUGGGUGAAGAAGGCCUUCGGGUUGUAAAGCCCUUUUGUUGGGAAAGAAAAGAAGCAGGUUAAUACCCCGCUGUUCUGACGGUACCCAAAGAAUAAGCACCGGCUAACUUCGUG